CUCGGUGACCUCUGCUCGCCUCAGAGAUGCCAGCCGCCCACCUGCCUGCAUCCCACUCCCGGCCGCGAGCCCAAGGGUCGCCAGCAUUCGGGAGCAACCCUCUCUCCAUUUUUCAAAACACACUGGAAAAGGGAUAGAAUGCCAGGACUUACAGGUGAACAUUGUAUUCUUCAUUCCAGCAAGGAAACAGCCUCUUUUUUUUUUAAAUCAUCCCAAAAGUUGCAAAUGAAUCUCAGGUUUCAAGUAUGGACACCUGUGCUUUCCAUAAGAGGGAUAACAUCUAGGCCUCAGUUGUGUUUCAGCUCCAGGCCCAGAAAGGCAGCAAAACCAGACAAGUGAUGCCAUAGCUGACCUCAGAACCAGCUGCAUUGACUAAUGACCCUCUGCCCUGGUGCCCACCAAUCAGCAGAGACCAUGACCCUGAAGAACACACCUGGAAAGCUGAUGAAUAUUCUACUGGGAUCCGCUCCUGAGACCUCCAAAUAAAUACCCUCAAGACGAAGGACCCUGUGUAGCUCUCUCUAUGGAGCACACCACACCUUUCCCCGCCCCAUUCUCCCAGGCAUGUUUUCCUUGCCCUCUUUCUCCUAAGCUCUAAGGACUCUUCUUUGGCCUCUGUAACUUGUUUCCUGAGCCCAUUUCUUUUAUGGCUCACUUCUACCUUUGUGACUUUCUAAAUAAAACUUUCUCUUAUA